UUUGCCUGAGGAAAUUUUCAUUUAUUCUUCACCUUUCAAGGAUAAUUUCACAUGGAACAAAAUUCUAGGUUGGUGGGUUUUUUUACUCUCAACACUAGGUAUUUCACUCCACUGUCUUCUAUCUUGCAUAGUUUCUCAGAAGUCCAAUGUAAUUCUUACCUUUGUUCCUCUGUAUAUAAGAUGUUUUUCCCCUCUCUGGCUUCUUUCAGGACUCUUCUUUAUCUUUGACUUCCUGUACUUUAAAAAGAAUAUGCCCAGGUAUAGUUUGUUGUCACUGUUGUUUUGGUAAGGGGGAUUAUUAUCCUGCUUGGUGGUCUCUGAGCUUCCUGGAUCUAUGGCUUAGUGUUUGGCAUUAAUUGGGGAAGUAUCAGUCAUAAUAAUGUGUGUAAUAACUACAGAUAUUUCUUCUGGUCCCCUCUCUCUUCCUUCUUCUGGUACUCUAAUUAUGUGUAUUUUAUAUCUUUUUGUAGUUGCCCCAGAGUCCUUGAAUAUUUUUUUCUUUUUCCCUUUUUUCAGUAUUUGUUCUCUAUGCUUUUCACUUUUGGGAGUUUAUACUAAGAUAUCCUUAAGCUCAGAGAUUCUCCCCCCAGCUGUGUUAGUCUACUAAUAAGCCUAUCAAAGGCAUUUUAAAUUUCUAUUACAGUGUUUUUUAAAUCUGUAGUCUUCUUUUUGGUUCCUUCUUAGAAUUUCCAUUUCUGUGCUUAUAUUACUCAUCUGUUCUUGCAUGCUAUCUAUUUUAUCCAUUAGAGCCCUGAACACAUUAAUGAGAAUUGUUACAAAUUUCCAGUCUGAUGAUUCCAAAAUCCUGCCAUGGUUGGUUUUGAUACUUGACCUGUCUCUUCAAAUUGUGUUUUAUGCUUUUUGGCAUGCCUUAUUAUUUUUUCUUGAUAGCCAGAAAUUAUAUAAUAGGUGAAAUGAACUGCUGCAAAUAGGCCUUUAGUCAUAUAGUGGUGAGUUAUGUGUGGAGUGGGGGAAGGAUUCUAUAAUCUCGUGGCUGGGUCUCAGUCUUUUAGUGAAUCUGUGCCUCUGGACUGUAAACUUCACAAGUGUUUUAAAUUUUUUUCUCCCCUGUUAGAUUGGAGAGGAAGCCAGAGUGGGCUGGAGUUGGGUAUUUCCCUUCUUCUCUGUGGAAGCCUAGACCUGACUGGAGUUGGAUAUUUCCCUUCCCCCAGGUCAGUUAGCCUCUAUUAAUACCCCAGCAGGUUAGGAUCUGCUGAGGUCUUGUUAAGAACAGAGUGCUCUGGAAUAAUUCUUUUUCCCUUCUCCCUGCCAAAAGCAUGAUGUGAUUUUUCUCCAGUAUUUAUUGUGGGAAUCUGCUCAAGCUCAUGGAGGUAAAUAUCACAAAACUGUGAGAUGAUAUACCUAUGAUUGGGUCCCCUGAAGUUUUUAACUCUCAGAAUUAUCCACACUGAGCCACCCACAAUUCUUCAAUUACAUUUCUGGUUUUCCUACCUUUGCACUGGUUCCUGUGAUGGUUUCCACUCAUGGUUCUCUGCUCUGGUGCUGCCAGAGUUUGAAGAAAAGAGGCCAGGUCAGACCAGAGACCUCUGAGCUUCCUGGCAGAGGUGGGGCUGGAACUUCAUGUCCUCCCAUGAAAUGUGAGCUGGCAUCUGGGACAAGUUCCUGGCCUGGAGAUUCCACAAACAAUGAGACAUCCAGAUGAGCUGCCUUCCAAACAAGUUAGAGAAUUAUGCCACAGUGUUUGCCGUGACUUCAUCCACACUUCUCCCCUAUUCCAAGGCCCCCAAAACCCAGUCCAUGACCCAGUCCUACCUCCUAGAAGUCCCUCUUGUGUCCACCUCAUCCCCCACCCACACUGCUACCACAGCCUUCCUGGACAACAGCGUGCCCUCCUCACACUUCCCACCAACUCUUUCCAGACCCAUUCUCCACCCCUACAGCCUGAGCAACCUUCUUAAAAUCCAAAUCUCAUCAUGCAAUUUCCUGACUGAAACUGUUAAAUGUUGCUCCAUUUCUCCAUGGGAUGAGCAUCAGGUUCUUGCCUGAUUCAUGCAACCUAUGGAGCUUUGUGCCUGCUGCCAUGUCCAGCCUCAUGUCCCAUCAGCUCCCCAAACAGCUCCAGCCUCCUCUACCAUGAGUCACUGCCUGAGAUUCCCUGUCUACUCAAGACAGCAUUCUUUUCCUCCCCUGCUGCCAAAGAGCCCACUUUGCCGGACAAGGCUUGGCGGGAUCCCCUCUUCUGAGCUCCCAUAGCACCCUGUGCUCACCAUUUUCAUUGCAAUGCUCACUUGUUCAGAGCUCCCAGAAGAUACCAAUUAUGUCUUAUUCAUCAUUAUAGUCCCAAGGCUAAAUUGAAUGGCUUGUAAUAGAUAACUCAACUAUAUUUAAGGAGCGUGUUUUGUCUAUCCAGAACUUCUCCUAACUUCUGCACCUGACACCUCUUGUUUUUGAGAAUUGCUCCUUCCCCUCUUCAGCCAAGGGGGUUUCAUAGGCUCCUGUUCAUGAAACCUGGUUGCAUCUCAUCUCUCACCAAGCCAAGCCAAGCCAAGCCAAUCAUUGGUCUUCUAUUGGGGAUUUUUCAAACUGGAAUUCAAGAAAGGUCUGAUCUUUCUGUGAUAAUAAAACUGAGAAGUGUGUGGAUGUCAGAUCAGUAAAAGGUGGAUGGGAACAAAAGGCCACACACAGAACAGCUGAGCUGAGAGUUGUCAAGGGGACACAGUCAUCACUUGACCCUAUAGUCCAGCCAUGUCUAAGGCCUGACACACACCAGCCCUUUACCUGGUUAUAAAAUCUCCUCAUAACUUUCCCUUUUCUCAAGUUAGUUUGUGUUGGUUUCUAUCCCAGAAAUUAAUUAAGAGUCCUAAUUUUAAAAAUCUUCCUUAGAUUUUCAGCUCCUUUGUGUCAGGAGUAACCUUAACACAUCUUUGUCUCCAGUGACCACACAGUGCCUGGCAGAAGGUCAGAACCUGUAGCAAUGGGGAGGCCUGAGUCUGCCCCAGCUGUCAUCUGACUCCCUGUGUUUGUCUCUAGCUAUGUCCUGGUGAGAAACAUUUCCUACUCCCUCCUAUAUCUAUUGCAUGUAGACAAGCUAUAUAACAACAGAGAUGGAGGCCAGGGACAAAGAGGUUGGCAGUCCCCCUUCAUUUUAUGUAUAAAUAUAAAAUGUCUAGGGAAAGAGAAGGUUUGAUUAACAUUUUAACCAAAUCCAAGCUACUAUAAAGUGAAAGAGAAAUUCACUGUAUUCAAAUAAAUAUGUGCUAAGUUCAGUUUUUGAAAAUUUUAAACCUUCCAAUGAGCUACCUUGCCAAUGAGACUUAAAGUUUCUUGUGGCAUAAACUGUCUUUAUUUCAGUGUCUGCCUCACAGAAUCCAGCUCAAGGCUGGGCGUGAAGCUGGUGAUUUAGAAUGGGAAUGAGUGAGGGAAGGAGUCUGUAAAUGCAAUGUCUCAAGCUAUUUUGCUCCAGAAUUAAAAAGAACUUUGUAACUACAGUGCAGACGUUUUUCCCUCCUAGAUGGAGUUGACGUACUUAACCUUAUCCUCAAACCUGAUUCCAUGGCCUAGAGCUGUGUGAGGUGUUACCACUCUCUCUCCAGGGUGUUUCUCAGCCUCCUGACCUGUGUGUGUUGUCUCUGAUUUGUCCCAGAUCAGUCUGAAUUUAAAAGUUCAAGUUCUCACUGCUUUCCAUGAGAAAUACCAUCACUUCCAGCAUUUCAUGCUUUUUGGAGACUUUACUGAGAUUUACAGGGAAAACUCACAACACAGAGCACAUCACAUCCACCCCUUCACUGCUUCUCUUGCCCUUUAACAUUUCUGUCCCCACUUCCUUUCCAGACUAACAAAUUCUUCCCCUUCAGUCAUGCAAAACAUUUCUGCUCAUGUCCAGGUCCUUUAGGGUCCCAUGUCCUCUCUAAUCUUAGAAACUUAUCAAAAUAUCCCUGCCACACAUACCCAGUGGCCUCUCCAGAAAGAAUAAUGGUGAAUGAAUAAUUCUCCAUUAUAUGAUAUGGUUACUCAAAAAUUCCAAUAGAAAUUUAGAAUUUCCCAAGAAAAUAUUCCUUAUUUUAUUGUUCUUAUUGUUUAUUUAUUAAUGUUAUUGAGGUAUAGUUGACACACAAUAUUAUAUUGGAUUCAAGUAUACCACACGAUGAUUGAACAGUGGGUAACAUCAUUAUAUCCUCACCCCAACUAGUGCAGUUACUAUCUGUCAACAUAACAAGAUGUUACAGAAUCGUUAACUAUAUUCUCCAUGAUGCUCUUCCAUUCCAAUUUAUAAUUAUGAUUGAGAUUUUGGUGUCCCUUUACUCCCCUCACCCUCCCAACCCUCUCCCUUUCCCGCUCCCCCAAGAUAACCACCAGUCACUUCUCAGUGUCUUUGAGUCUACUGAUGCUCUGUUCAUUUUGCUUUGCUUUGUUUUUAGAUUCCACAAAUAAGUGAAAUCAAAUGGUAUUCGUCUUUCUCCACUUGGCUUAUUCACUUAGCAUAAUACCCUUAAGAUCCAUCCAUGCUGUUGAAAAUGAAAGGAUUUCCUUUUUUUUAAUGACUGAAUAUUCCAUUAUGUAUAUGUACCACAUCUUGUUUAUCCAUUCAUCUAUUGAUGGACACUUUAAUUACUUCCCUAUAUUGGCUAUUGUAAAUAAUGCAGCAAUAAACAUAAGGGUAUAUAUAUCUUUUUGAAUCAGAGAUUUUGUUUUCUUCAGGUAAAUUCCUAGAAGUGGAAUUACUGGGUCAUAUGGUAUCUCUAAGUUUUUGUUUGUUGAGGAACCUCCCUACUGCUAUCCAUAAUGUUUGCACCAAUUUUCAUUCCCACCAACAGCAUAGGAGGGUUCCUUUCUCUGCAUCUUCACCAACACUUGUUAUUUAUUGUCUUUUGGACAGUGGCUAUUCUAAUUGGUGUGAGGUGAUAUUUCAUAGUGGUUCUGAUUUUCAUUUCCCUGAUAAUUAGCUAGUGGAGCAUCUUUUCAUGUGUCUGUUGGCCAUCAGUAUUUCUUCUUUGGAAAAAUGUGUGUUCAGGUCCUCUGCCCAUUUUUUAAUCAGGUCGUUUGCUUUUUUGGUGUUGAGGCAAACUUUCCCAGGGUAUUCACAGACUGAACAAAAUAUUCAUGGAGGAAAGAACAACAGAACUAGAACCAGUAACUAAAAAUAUUUUUAUGUUAAUUGCAAUUAAAGUGAACUCCACAAGAUGAAAAGUUACCAAACACAAGUUAAUCUGGAUGGAAAUGAACCUUUUAGCACAUAGUAGCUCUCAAGUAUCUGCUUCAGAAUUCUCAACAGGGAGGUAUACCCCAAAGAGGUAUUGAGAUAGAUGCUUCUAAUCAGUACAUGCAGUUCUUAAGUAACAACAGACACAAGCAGGGUGGCAUACCAUGCUCAAAUUGGGCCUGCUAUUUGUCUAGAGGCAAUCAAAAUAGGCCUGCCCUGAUGAGAAUGUCCUGAACCCAGUGAUGGCAAAAGCAAUCUUAGUGAUUUUUACUCAGAAUAAAGAAGUCAGAUUUCCCCUAGGUAGCAGUCAAGAAAGCAUAUGUGGCCAACUUGGAAAUAAUGUGUUGCUAUCUGCCCAGCAUCCAUGGGUAUUCACUUUCUUUUGGUAUUUAAAAACCAAUUUUGAAAAAUAAUUAUUCAGUGUUUCUUGG